rnacentral:rRNA from 1 species
UUCUACGGCCAUAUCACACUGGACACGCCCGAUCUCAUCUGAUCUGGGAAGCUAAGCAGGGUCGGGCCUGGUUAGUACUUGGAUGGGAGAAAUGCAAUAUUAUAGAACUGUAAGAGCUGAAGGAC